rnacentral:rRNA from 1 species
ACGGGGCGCAGCAGGCGCGAAAACUUUACAAUGCGGGAAACCGUGAUAAGGGAACUCCGAGUGCCCGUAAAAUCGGGCUGUCUAUCUGUUUAAAUAACAGGUGAAGAAAGGGCCGGGCAAGACCGGUGGCAGCCGCCGCGGUAAUACCGGCGGCUCGAGUGGUGGCCACUAUUACUGGGCUUAAAGCGUUCGUAGCUGGUUUGUUAAGUCUCUGGGGAAAUCUGCCGGCUCAACCGGCAGGCGUUCCAGGGAUACUGGCAGACUAGGGACCGGGAGAGGUGAGGGGUACUCCAGGGGUAGGAGUGAAAUCCUGUAAUCCUUGGGGGACCACCUGUGGCGAAGGCGCCUCACCAGAACGGCUCCGACAGUGAGGGACGAAAGCUGGGGGAGCAAACCGGAUUAGAUACCCGGGUAGUCCCAGCCGUAAACGAUGCGCGUUAGGUGUAUCGGUGACCACGAGUCACCGAGGUGCCGAAGAGAAAUCGUGAAACGUGCCGCCUGGGAAGUACGGUCGCAAGGCUGAAACUUAAAAGGAAUUGGCGGGGGAGCAC